AAUGUGGUGGACCUUGGCAGAUAUAUGGAAAAUGUACCUUUGGACUAAGUUGCCAGGCCUCAGUUCCCACUGAUUAUUUAGGUGCAGGUGGCAACUUCGGAAAUCACCACGAACCAAAAGGAGUAUGCAGAAAACCAGGCGAAGUUUUGCAAGGAAGUCGGCCAUGUUUUGUUGCUCUCAAGAAGUACCAAACUGAAAUACAUCUCAGAGGCAAACGACAAGCGAAGAGAGCGGUUACAAACGGACAGUCAUUGACCACUUUAAAACAAAUGAUCUUGGUACAUGCAACGAAACCAACCCAUAAUAACACAACGCCUUUACUGAUCUCCCUUGCCAAAACAACGGCGAAUAAAUCCAGCAAUGGUGGAUCCUCACCAAAUUCCACAACAUUAAUGACAUUUUUAUCACAAAUUACAACAGAUUCACCAUUGAAUAUAACAACUGCAUCAUUAAAAAUGACACAAAAUGACACUAUUACUACACCACAAUCUGGAACUUCAGAUCAAAUUACCGAUGAUCAAUCAACAGUUACUACCUCGUAUACUUCAACUGAACCAAUCACUACAGGAGACACUUCUUUCACCAGUGAAUCGUCAUCCGAGACCACAACCUUUACUGCGGUAUCAACAACAGACACCGAUUUUACAAGUGAGGCAUUAACCACGACGCCUGAUACAUCUACAGAGGUAUUAACGACGCCGACAGUCCCGACGACAACUCCGUGUCCAAUCAAGCCAAGGUGUACACCAGAAGGUUGGUUUGCUCCUACACAAUGUGACCCUUGCGUUGGGGAAUGUUGGUGUGUUUAUUAUUCAAAUGGGCAAGAGGUUCCAAACACACGAAAACAAGGACGAGUGAGGUGCACCUAGUCGCUCCCUAGCUUUUUAGAUUUAAACAAUGAAAUGCUAUAUCAAUCAUUACUAGGACUGUGGUACUUGAUAUGAAUAACAUGGCCCGAGAACAGUUAUUUCGUAGUGCAUUUCUUUUAGACAAUAAAUUCAAACUAAAAAAAUCGCACCUGCUCUAUCUCAAAAAGAUUUUUACAGUGUAGUGUACUACUAUUGGGACAAGUAAUAUCAAAAUUAUAGAAAAGUCUAACAGCUCUAACUCAAAAUAUUGACAAUUCUAUGUUAAGGGGGUCUAAAAUUCAGUUUGACAGCUUCAGACAUACUAGUUUUUUACCUUUUUUAACUGGACCAAAUCACUACUUAACAUAAAGAUUUAGCACCCAAAUUUUUUAAACAUGU